rnacentral:rRNA from 1 species
AUUGAACGCUGGCGGCAUGCCUUACACAUGCAAGUCGAACGGUAACAGGUCUUCGGAUGCUGACGAGUGGCGAACGGGUGAGUAAUACAUCGGAACGUGCCUAGUAGUGGGGGAUAACUACUCGAAAGAGUGGCUAAUACCGCAUGAGAUCUACGGAUGAAAGCAGGGGAUCGAAAGACCUUGUGCUACUAGAGCGGCCGAUGGCAGAUUAGGUAGUUGGUGGGAUAAAAGCUUACCAAGCCGACGAUCUGUAGCUGGUCUCAGAGGACGAUCCGCCACACUGGGACUGAGACACGGCCCAGACUCCUACGGGAGGAAGCAGUGGGGAAUUUUGGACAAUGGGCGCAAGCCUGAUCCAGCAAUGCCGCGUGCAGGAUGAAGGCCUUCGGGUUGUAAACUGCUUUUGUACGGAACGAAAAGCCCUGGGUUAAUACCCUGGGGUCAUGACGGUACCGUAAGAAUAAGCACCGGCUAACUACGUGCCAGCCGCCGCCGUAA